AACGCGAAGAACCUUACCUACCCUUGACAUGGUCAGGACCCUGCUGAAAGGCGGGGGUGCCCGAAAGGGAACUGAUACACAGGUGCUGCAUGGCUGUCGUCAGCUCGUGUCGUGAGAUGUUGGGUUAAGUCCCGCAACGAGCGCAACCCUUAUCCCUAGUUGCCAUCGGGUCAAGCCGGGCACUCUAGUGAAACCGCCCGGGAUAACCGGGAGGAAGGUGGGGAUGACGUCAAGUCCUCAUGGCCUUUAUGUCCAGGGCUACACACGUGCUACAAUGGUCGGUACAAACCGUCGCAAACCCGCGAGGGGGAGCUAAUCGGAAAAAGCCGGCCUCAGUUCGGAUUGGAGUCUGCAACCCGACUCCAUGAAGCUGGAAUCGCUAGUAAUCGCGGAUCAGAACGCCGCGGUGAAUACGUUCCCGGGCCUUGUACACACCGCGCAUA
rnacentral:rRNA from 1 species